AUCUGAGGACUUAGCAGAAUGGUAUGGGAAAGCCAACCAGAGAAUGUGAUAGUCAUGUAUGCGAAAAGGAAUCAGAGCUAGCAGGAUCCAAAGUACCGCGGGACACGAGGAAUCCCGUGGGAAGUCGGGGGGACCACCCUCCAAGCCUAAAUACUACCCAAUGACCGAUAGCGAAAAGUACUGUGAAGGAACGGUGAAAAGAACCCCGGGAGGGGAGUGAAAAGAACCUGAAACUCUGUGCUUACAAGCACAUAGAGCACGUCAAUGUGUGAUAUGGUACCUUUUGUAGAAUGGUCCGGCGAGUUAUGGUAUGCAGCAUGGUUAAGGACUUGAGGUCUGAAGCCGAAGCGAGAGCGAGUCUGACAAGGGCGAUAAGUUGUAUGCCAUAGACCCGAAACCGGGUGACCUAGCCAUGUCCAGGCUGAAGUGGAGGUAAAACUCCAUGGAGGGCCGAACCGACCUCCGUUGAAAAGGCGGCGGAUGAGAUGUGGCUAGCGGAGAAAUUCCAAUCGAACCCGGAUAUAGCUGGUUCUCCCCGAAAUAGCUUUAGGGCUAGCGUUGUAUUAGAUUACCGGAGGUAAAGCACUGAAUGGGCUAGGGGCUGAGAAGUUACUGAACCCUAUCAAACUAAGAAUGCCGGAUAAUUGAUGUACAGCAGUCAGACUAUGUGAGAUAAGUCUCAUAGUCAAAAGGGAAACAGCCCAGACCCACAGCUAAGGUCCCAAAAUGGAUUUAAGUGGAAAAGGAUGUGGAAUUGCACAGACAACCAGGAUGUUGGCUUAGAAGCAGCCACUCAUUAAAAGAGUGCGUAAUAGCUCACUGGUCGAGUGACUCUGCGCGGAAAAUAUAACGGGGCUAAGCAUGAAACCGAAGCUUGGGCUUGUACUUAGGUACAGGGGUAGGGGAGCGUCGAGUAUGGGGUGAAGUCAGAGCGGAAGCACUGGUGGACUGUACUGGAGUGAGAAUGCCGGAAUGAGUAGCGAGAAUUAUGUGGGAAUCAUAAUGGCCGAAAAUCUAAGGUUUCUUGGGGAAGGUUCGUCCGCCCAAGGUAAGUCGGGAGCUAAGCUCAGGCCGAGAGGCGUAGGCGAUGCACAUACGGUAGAAAUUCCGUAACCACCGAACUUUAAGCAUGAGGGACACUUUGAGAUAGCGGAACCCGGGCGUUGGUUGACCCGGGCGAAAGGGACCGAAAUAUAGUAGGGAAGUCCGCGAUGCUCGGAGGCGAGAAAAGCUCAUGUGUAUACUAAGGUGCCCGUACCGCAAACCGACACAGGUAGAUGAGGAGAGAAUCCUAAGGCCAACGGGAGAAGGGUUGUUAAGGAACUCGGCAAAUUGACCCCGUAACUUCGGAAGAAGGGGAGCCCCCUACGGGGGGUCGCAGAGAAAUGGCCCAAGCAACUGUUUACCAAAAACACAGGUCUAUGCUAAAUCGAAAGAUGACGUAUAUGGGCUGACGCCUGCCCGGUGCCGGAAGGUUAAGAGGAGAUGUCAGGCAACGAAGCAUUGAAUUUAAGCCCCGGUAAACGGCGGCCGUAACUAUAACGGUCCUAAGGUAGCGAAAUUCCUUGUCAGGUAAGUUCUGACCCGCACGAAAGGCGUAAUGAUCUGGGUACUGUCUCAACCAUAGACUCGGUGAAAUCUUAAUACCUGUGAAAAUGCAGGUUACCCGCGACUGGACGGAGAGACCCCGUGGAGCUUUACUGUAGCUUGAUAUUGGAAUUCGGUAAACUAUGUAGAGCAUAGGUGGGAGACUAUGAGACUAAGGCGCCAGCCUUAGAGGAGUCACCAUUGGAAUACCACCCUUAGUUUAUUGGAUUUCUAACCUAGAGCCAUUAUCUGGUUCAGGGACAGUGUCUGGUGGGCAGUUUGACUGGGGCGGUCGCCUCCUAAAAUGUAACGGAGGCGUUCAAAGGUUCCCUCAGAAUGGUUGGAAAUCAUUCAAAGAGCGUAAAGGUAUAUAGGGAGCUUGACUGCGAGACCUACAAGUCAAGCAGGUGCGAAAGCAGGACUUAGUGAUCAGGCGAUUCAGAAUGGAAUGGUCGUCGCUUAACGGAUAAAAGUUACCCCGGGGAUAACAGGCUGAUACCACCCAAUAGUUCACAUAGACGGUGGUGUUUGGCACCUCGAUGUCGGCUCGUCAUAUCCUGGAGGUGGAGUCGCUUCCAAGGGUUGGGCUGUUCGCCCAUUAAAAUGGCACGCGAGCUGGGUUCAGAACGUCGUGAGACAGUUCGGUCCCUAUCCGUCGUGGGCGCAGGAAAAUUGAGGAGAGCUAUCCUUAGUACGAGAGGACCGGGAUGGACCUACCUCUGGUGUAUCUGUUGUCACGCCAGUGGCAGUGCAGAGUAGCUAUGUAGGGAAGGGAUAAACGCUGAAAGCAUCUAAGCGUGAAGCCCUCUCCAAGAUGAGUUUUCCCAUUGU
rnacentral:rRNA from 1 species